AUUUCUGUCUCCCUAGCACACCCCCUUCCCUCUAAGCGAUGGCUGAGAGGCGGUGCAUGCAGAUGGGGAGUAAGUUUCCUGAAGGGGAGGGUGGAUGCACGCGCGCGGCCCCGCGCUGCAAAUUUCCACCGGGGAGGGAGAGUGGCUGGAUGCGGAGAGUUUGGAGUUGCUUGCCGCGGAGGGCAGGAAGGGGAGCAGGGCCGGGAAAGGGGGCUGGCGGGCGCUAUAUCUGGGAGUAAGUUUCCAGGAUCAGGAGAGCCUGCACGCUUGCACGCUACUCUGCUCGCCCCCCAUCUCACCCCCCAAGCGGAGUCUGGUCUUGUCGGAUUGCCCAUGCACUUGUUGCAGAAACAGCCAAGGCCCUGGCUCUGGCGGAUGCUGA
rnacentral:lncRNA from 1 species